GCUCCAAUAGCGUAUAUUAAAGUUGUUGCGGUUAAAAAGCUCGUAGUUGAAUCUCAGUUCAUGUUAAGUGGUCCGCCAUACGGCGGUUACUUCUUAACUGAACAUUUUACAGAUUUGCCUCUUGAUGCUCUUUACCGAGUGUCAUGAGCGAUCUGUACGUUUACUUUGAAAAAAUUAGAGUGCUCAAAGCAGGCAUUUUGCCCGAAUAAUCUUGCAUGGAAUAAUGGAAUAGGACCUUAGUUCUAUUUUGUUGGUCUCCGGAAUCUGAGGUAAUGAUUAAGAGGGACAGACGGGGGCAUUCGUAUUGCGGCGCUAGAGGUGAAAUUCUUGGACCGUCGCAAGACGAACUACAGCGAAAGCAUUUGCCAAGAAUGUUUUCAUUAAUCAAGAACGAAAGU
rnacentral:rRNA from 1 species